rnacentral:rRNA from 1 species
UACGUAGGGUGCGAGCGUUAAUCGGAUUUACUGGGCGUAAAGCGUGCGCAGGCGGCCCGUUAAGACAGGUGUGAAAUCCCUGGGCUCAACCUAGGAAUUGCGCUUGUGACUGGCGGGCUCGAGUACGGUAGAGGGGGGUGGAAUUCCUGGUGUAGCAGUGAAAUGCGUAGAGAUCAGGAGGAACACCGAUGGCGAAGGCAGCCCCCUGGGCCCGUACUGACGCUCAUGCACGAAAGCGUGGGGAGCAAACAGG